rnacentral:lncRNA from 1 species
UUAACAGGUACUCAAUACAUCUUUUUUUUGUGACUGUGCAGCUUUUUGUUUGUUAAUUAAAUCUUCUACUUUUAUUAUAUUUACAUUUUUCCCCUGCUAAUUUUAAAAAUUAAAUAGCCUAUUCUUCUCUUACUCAAUCUGCUCUGACAUUUGCUGCUAUAUACAUUUUAUUUCUCUUUCUGUCUUUAAUCUUACCUACCAGUGCAUGGGUACAGAGAUAAAUGUUUUACUCAGUCAAAUCCCAAAUCUUCAGCUAAGGGAAGAGUCCAUAAUCAAGGUGUGUGGGCAAGUCUUCGCUCUAGCACUCGCUUGAUCAGCUCUCCAACAUCCUUCAUUGAUGUUGGCGCCCGGCUGGCAGGCAAGGAUCACUCGGCCUCCUUCAGUAACAGCAGCUACCUACAAAACCAGCUCUUGAAACGGCAAGCAGCCCUUUACAUAUUUGGUGAAAAGUCGCAACUAAGGAACUUCAAGGUAGAAUUUGCUUUAAAUUGUGAGUUUGUUCCUGUUGAAUUUCAUGAAAUCCGGCAAGUGAAAGCCAGUUUUAAGAAGCUGAUGAGGGCUUGUAUCCCAAGCACCAUCCCUACU